rnacentral:rRNA from 1 species
UACGGGGGGGGCAAGCGUUGUUCGGAAUUACUGGGCGUAAAGGGCUCGUAGGCGGCCAACUAAGUCAGACGUGAAAUCCCCAGGCUCAACCUGGGAACUGCGUCUGAUACUGGAUGGCUUGAAUCCGGGGAGAGGGAUGCAGAAUUCCAGGUGUAGCGGUGAAAUGCGUAGAUAUCUGGAGGAAUACCGGUGGCGAAGGCGGCAGUCCUGGACCGGCAUUGACGCUGAGGAGCGAAAGCCAGGGGAGCAAACGGG